rnacentral:rRNA from 1 species
CCUACGGGUGGCAGCAGUCGAGAAUCAUUCACAAUGGGGGAAACCCUGAUGGUGCGACGCCGCGUGGGGGAAUGAAGGUCUUCGGAUUGUAAACCCCUGUCAUGUGGGGACAAAUUAAAAAGAUAGUACCACAAGAGGAAGAGACGGCUAACUCUGUGCCAGCAGCCGCGGUAAUACAGAGGUCUCAAGCGUUGUUCGGAAUCACUGGGCGUAAAGCGUGCGUAGGCUGUUUCGUAAGUCGUGUGUGAAAGGCGCGGGCUCAACCAGCGGACGGCACAUGAUACUGCGAGACUAGAGUAGUGGAGGGGGAACCGGAAUUCUCGGUGUAGCAGUGAAAUGCGUAGAUAUCGAGAGGAACACUCGUGGCGAAGGCGGGUUCCUGGACAUUAACUGACGCUGAGGCACGAAGGCCAGGGGAGCGAAAGGGAGUAGAUACCCCAGUAGUC